rnacentral:rRNA from 1 species
GACGAACGCUGGCGGCUUGCCUAAUACAUGCAAGUAGAACGCAUUUGCGAACGGGUGAGUAACGCGUAGGUAACUGCCUCAUAGCGGGGUAUAAUUCUUGGAAACGAUAGCUACUACCGCCAUCUUUGAGAUGGACCUGCGUUGUAUUAGCUAGUUGGUGAGGUAAAGGCUCACCAAGGCGACGAUACAUAGCCGACCGGAGAGGGUGGUCGGCCAAACUGGGACGGGGACACGGCCGAGACUCCUACGGGAGGCAGCAGUAGGGGAUCUGCGGCAAUGGGCGGAAGUCUGAACGAGCAACGCCGGUGGAGUGAAGAAGGUUGUCGGGUCGUAAAGCUCUGUUGUUAGAGGAGCGGUAACUAACCAGAAAGGGACGGCUAACUACGUGCCAGCCGCCGCGGUAAUAC